rnacentral:lncRNA from 1 species
AUUAAAAAUAGAUGUUUCUCAUUGCUUUUAACCGUAUAAGAAUGAUUUUAUGUGCAUCGAAUUAGUAAUCAAAUGAUUUACCGUAGUUUCACUUUCAUUGUUGACAUUCUUUUUUCUUUAAAUAACCAGUACACGUACAAUGCAUGCGUUGUCAAUCUCUAGCUAGGGGUUAAAUUGAAGUUCACAUGAAUACGGAUUUAAAGAGGUCGACU